AUUGAACGCUGGCGGCAUGCCUUACACAUGCAAGUCGAACGGCAGCACGGGUGCUUGCACCUGGUGGCGAGUGGCGAACGGGUGAGUAAUACAUCGGAACAUGUCCUGUAGUGGGGGAUAGCCCGGCGAAAGCCGGAUUAAUACCGCAUACGAUCUACGGAUGAAAGCGGGGGACCUUCGGGCCUCGCGCUAUAGGGUUGGCCGAUGGCUGAUUAGCUAGUUGGUGGGGUAAAGGCCUACCAAGGCGACGAUCAGUAGCUGGUCUGAGAGGACGACCAGCCACACUGGGACUGAGACACGGCCCAGACUCCUACGGGAGGCAGCAGUGGGGAAUUUUGGACAAUGGGCGAAAGCCUGAUCCAGCAAUGCCGCGUGUGUGAAGAAGGCCUUCGGGUUGUAAGGCACUUUUGUCCGGAAAGAAAUCCUUGGCCCUAAUACGGUCGGGGGAUGACGGUACCGGAAGAAUAAGCACCGGCUAACUACGUG
rnacentral:rRNA from 1 species